UACGUAGGGUGCAAGCGUUGUCCGGAAUUAUUGGGCGUAAAGAGCUCGUAGGCGGUUCGUCGCGUCGGCUGUGAAAUCCCGAGGCUCAACCUCGGGUCUGCAGUCGAUACGGGCAGACUGGAGUGCGGUAGGGGAGAAUGGAAUUCCUGGUGUAGCGGUGGAAUGCGCAGAUAUCAGGAGGAACACCGAUGGCGAAGGCAGUUCUCUGGGCCGUAACUGACGCUGAGGAGCGAAAGCGUGGGGAGCGAACAGG
rnacentral:rRNA from 1 species